rnacentral:lncRNA from 1 species
AUCAGUACGAGGUUACAAGGGGAAAGUUAAUACGAAGUUACAAAAAGAAAAGUUAAGGCAUUAUAUGUCUUAAUUACAAUUCGCCCCAGACCGAAUGAAUUCUUUCCCUAAGUCUCCCCCAAUCCUCGCUCUGCCGAGAAGAAGUGAUAUUCAAUUCAGCUACAAAAUCAUCAUCAACUUCCAGCUUCUUGUACUGCUCGACCAAAGACUUGGUUCGCUCAAUUCCUUGGGAGGCAUUACG